rnacentral:rRNA from 1 species
GUACAUCGGAGUAGAGUGCUUUAAUAGCAUCAAGAUCACUAGCAGUAGGGUAACCUAUUGUUAGCCUUGAAGCUUUACAAGUUCUACGGCUAUGUUCCAGUAUGACUCUAGCCAGCAUUCAUGUGGGGGAGUGCAUUUUUUCAUUCUCUGAGGUCGAGUCUUGGACCAGGUGAUGGGGGAAUCCUUACAAAGAGAAAGUUCCCCUAUAUGGUGUCUAUAGAAAGGUAUGCUAACACCAUACCUGAUCUAUUUCCAGUUAUCAAAGCUACUGGUUACCCUUUGCGGUAGCUAGACUAGCUUUGAGCUGGUAUAGGUAACUAUAGACACAUAUACACUGGAGAAUGAAUCUCUGCGUAUGCAGGGUCAACACAAUGCUCGUGUAAGGUGCCAGUGUAUCCGAGUAGUAUUUCGCUAUUAGGCUUUGUUUCUGUACUCAGUAUAGGAACGGUCUAUGGUUAUAUUGCUCUUGGGUGGUAUACUGGAGAUAUCUUAUCGAGUUAAUUGGACUGUUGAUGUGAUUCGGAGACAAGUAGAUCGGUACUCUAUCCGACCCGUCUUGAAACACGGACCAAGGAGUCUAACAUGUAUGCAAGCCAAACAGUCUUGAAUAGGCUUGUGAAGGCGAAUUGAAAGAAAUAUACUUAUGGGUAUGAUGUGAUAACCAUUUCAUUGGUCAUGAAUGUGUUCCAAUGUUGGUUCACAGCAAUACCGGCCCGUGGAAUAUCCUCUUUACCGAGAUAACCGCGGAGCUAUAGUAUAUAUGUUAGUACCCGAAAGAUGGUGAACUAUGCCCGGGCAAGAUGAAGCCAGAGGAAACUCUGGUGGAGGUCUGUAGCGAUUCUGACGUGCAAAUCGAUCGUCAGAUCCGGGUAUAGGGGCGAAAGACUAAUCGAAC